GCUUGGAUAGCUCAGCCAGAGCACGAGACUCUUAAUCUCGGGGUUGUGGGUUCAAGCCCCACAUUGGGCA